AUAAGAGGUCCCGCCUGCCCUGUGACUGUAAGUUUAACGGCCGCGGUAUUUUGACCGUGCGAAGGUAGCGCAAUCACUUGUCUUUUAAAUGGAGACCUGUAUGAAUGGCAUAACGAGGGCUUAGCUGUCUCCUCUUUCAAGUCAAUGAAAUUGAUCUCCCCGUGCAGAAGCGGGGAUACACACAUAAGACGAGAAGACCCUAUGGAGCUUUAGACACCAAAGCAGACCAUGUUAAAAACUCUUAGACAAAAGACCAAACCAAAUGAACCCUGCCCUAAUGUCUUUGGUUGGGGCGACCGCGGGGAAACACAAAACCCCCACGUGGAAUGAGAACACCUCCUCUCACAACUAAGAGCUCCCGCUCUAAUGAACAGAAAUUCUGACCAAUAAGAUCCGGCAAGACCGAUCAACGGACCGAGUUACCCUAGGGAUAACAGCGCAAUCCCCUUUUAGAGGCCAUAUCGACAAGGGGGUUUACGACCUCGAUGUUGGAUCAGGACAUCCUAAUGGUGCAGCCGCUAUUAAGGGUUCGUUUGU
rnacentral:rRNA from 1 species